rnacentral:rRNA from 1 species
GUGGGGAAUAUUGGACAAUGGGCGAAAGCCUGAUCCAGCCAUGCCGCGUGUGUGAAGAAGGUCUUCGGAUUGUAAAGCACUUUAAGUUGGGAGGAAGGGCAGUAAGUUAAUACCUUGCUGUUUUGACGUUACCAACAGAAUAAGCACCGGCUAACUUCGUGCCAGCAGCCGCGGUAAUACGAAGGGUGCAAGCGUUAAUCGGAAUUACUGUGCGUAAAGCGCGCGUAGGUGGUUUUGUAAGUUGGAGGUGAAAUCCCCGGGCUCAACCUGGGAACUGCUUUCAAAACUGCUGAGCUAGAGUACGGUAGAGGGUGGUGGAAUUUCCUGUGUAGCGGUGAAAUGCGUAGAUAUAGGAAGGAACACCAGUGGCGAAGGCGACCACCUGGACUGAUACUGACACUGAGGUGCGAAAGCGUGGGGAGCAAACAGGAUUAGAAACCCGGGUAGUCC